CCUACGGGUGGCAGCAGUGGGGGAUAUUGCACAAUGGGGGGAACCCUGAUGCAGCGACGCCGCGUGGGUGAAGGAGUGCUUCGGCAUGUAAAGUCCUAUCGGCAGGGAGGAAGCAAGUCGGUACCUGACUAUGAAGCUCCGGCUAACACGGUGCCAGCAGCCGCGGCAAAUCGGGGGGGGCGAGCGUUAUCCGGAUGCACGGGGGGUAAAGGGAGCGUAGACGGCGAAGCAAGCCAGGGGUGAAAUCCCGGGGCCCAACCCCGGGACCGCCCGUGAAACUGCAUGGCGUGAGUGCGGGAGGGGCAAGCGGAAUUCCUGGUGUAGGGGUGAAAUGCGUAGAUAUCAGGAGGAACACC
rnacentral:rRNA from 1 species